GGCAUUUGGUAAAAGGGGGCCGUGGGGCUUCUUCCUGAGCACAUAGGCCUGCCCACCCUUCUGAAGAUAAAAGGUUGGAUUUGACUGUCCUGAGCUGUACUGCCUGACGGACAGAGCCCCCGCGGGCUGCUGGGGGAAGCCGUGAAGGCAGCGGCACAGGUACCGCUCUAGGCUGCCCUGGUCGAAGCGGUGCUGCCGCCGCACCUCGCUGGUGCCCGGCUCCACAGCCAUCCCCGCG
rnacentral:lncRNA from 1 species